CCUACGGGAGGCAGCAGUGAGGAAUAUUGGUCAAUGGACGAGAGUCUGAACCAGCCAAGUAGCGUGAAGGAUGACUGCCCUAUGGGUUGUAAACUUCUUUUAUAUGGGAAUAAAAUGUUCCACGUGUGGGAUUUUGUAUGUACCAUAUGAAUAAGGAUCGGCUAACUCCGUGCCAGCAGCCGCGGUAAUACGGAGGAUCCGAGCGUUAUCCGGAUUGAUUGGGUUUAAAGGGAGCGUAGGUGGAUUGUUAAGUCAGUUGUGAAAGUUUGCGGCUCAACCGUAAAAUUGCAGUUGAAACUGGCAGUCUUGAGUACAGUAGAGGUGGGCGGAAUUCGUGGUGUAGCGGUGAAAUGCUUAGAUAUCACGAAGAACUCCGAUUGUGAAGGCAGCUCACUGGACUGCAACUGACACUGAGGCUCGAAAGUGUGGGUAUCAAACAGGAUUAGAUACCCUUGUAGUC
rnacentral:rRNA from 1 species